GAGCACGCGCGUGUGGCAUAUCAAUAAGCGGAGGAAAAGAAACUAACAAGGAUUCCCUUAGUAACGGCGAGUGAAGCGGGAAGAGCUCAAAUUUGAAAUCUUCAAGGUUCUACCUUGACGAAUUGUAGUUUAUAGAAGUGUUUUCUGUUGGUAGAGUGGCAAAAGUUCUUUGGAAUAGGACAUCAUAGAGGGUGAGAAUCCCGUAUUUGACCAUUCUUUCUAGCUUUGUGAUACACUUUCAAAGAGUCAGAUUGUUUGGGAAUGCAGUCCAAAAUGGGUGGUAAAUUUCAUCUAAAGCUAAAUAUUGGCGAGAGACCGAUAGCGAACAAGUACCGUGAGGGAAAGAUGAAAAGAACUUUGAAAAGAGAGUUAAACAGUACGUGAAAUUGUCAAAAGGGAAGCGUUUGACACCAGUGUUGUUUAGUUCGAAAAUCAAUUACGAAUAGUUUUUGAUUCUAGAGUAAGUAUUGACUUCAUCAGCUUGCUUCUUUCUUCUCAGAAACUUAUUGAAUGCACUUUUCAGGUUAACAAGUCAACAUCAAUUUCUUUUGUUGUAAAAGGGUAUGAGGAAGGGUGGCUUGCUCGUUCGGCUCAAGUGUUUAUAGCCUUUUAGCUCUGCAAUCGGAGAGAUUGAGGUCUGCAGCGUAGAUCCUUCGGGGUUAGAUACAGUUGGUGCUAAGCUAUAGCCUUGUAUAGACAACUUGUUGACUAUGCUCAGUCAUGUAGCUUACUCGCAUGAUGCUAUUUUACCUACGCUUAGGAUGUUGAUGUGAUACUGCGAGCA
rnacentral:rRNA from 1 species